GAGACAUGUUGAAAGGUUCCUAUAGGAGAUGUUAUUUUGAUAUUUUCAUGAAGUGGAUAUGCCACGAACGGAGUGAUGAGCGCAGUUCGAAAUUUUUGAACAAGUGCUACAAAGCUUUGCCAGACAAGGGAAAAGUAAUUGUUGCAGAAUCCAUUCUUCCACAUUACCCCGAUCCUAGCCUCCCUAAGAAGUUAGUUCUCCAUAUCGAUUGCAUAUGUUGGCUCACAAUCAUGAUGGAAAAGAGAGGACCAAGAAAGAAUUUGAGGCCUUGACCAAGGGUGUAGGGUUUCAGGGUUUCCGAGUCAAACGCUGCGCUUUCGGCACAUACAUCAUGGAGUUCCUCAAAAGGAUUUGAA